rnacentral:tRNA from 1 species
GCAUCCAUAGUUCAAUUGGAUAGAACGUUCGACUUCGGAUCGAAAGGUUAUGGGUUCGACUCCUAUUGGGUGCGCCA